UACGUAGGGGGCAAGCGUUGGUCCGGAUUUAUUGGGCGUAAAGAGCGUGUAGGCGGUUUGGUAGGUCCGCUGUGAAAACUCGAGCUCAACCUCGAGACGCCGGUGGAAACCAUCAGACUAGAGUCCGGAAGAGGAGAGUGGAAUUCCUGGUGUAGCGGUGAAAUGCGCAGAUAUCAGGAAGAACACCCGUGGCUAAGGCGGCUCUCUGGGCAUGUCCUGACGCUGAGGAGCGAAAGUGUGGGGAGCGAACAGG
rnacentral:rRNA from 1 species